AUUGAACGCUGGCGGCAGGCCUAACACAUGCAAGUCGAGCGGCAGAAGGGGGUUUGCUCCUGGGUUCAGUGGCGGACGGGUGAGUAAUGCAUAGGAACGUGCCUGGUAGUGGGGGAUAACGCCCGGAAACGGGGGCUAAUACCGCAUACGACCUGAGGGAGAAAGUGGGGGAUCGUCGGACCUCACGCUAUCAGAUGAGCCUAGGUCGGAUUAGCUAGUUGGUGGGGUAAAGGCCUACCAAGGCGACGAUCCGUAACUGGUCUGAGAGGAUGAUCAGUCACACUGGAACUGAGACACGGUCCAGACUCCUACGGGAGGCAGCAGUGGGGAAUAUUGGACAAUGGGCGAAAGCCUGAUCCAGCCAUGCCGCGUGUGUGAAGAAGGUCUUCGGGUUGUAAAGCACUUUAGGUUGGGAGGAAGGGCAGUAAGUUAAUACCUUGCUGUUUUGACGUUACCGACAGAAUAAGCACCGGCUAACUUCGUG
rnacentral:rRNA from 1 species